rnacentral:snRNA from 1 species
GAGCUCAUUUCAGCAGCAGAUUUACUAAAAUUGGAGCAAUACAGAGAAGAUUAGCAUGGUCCCUGCAUAAGGAUGACAUGCAAAUUUGUAAAACGUUCCAUUUUUUG